rnacentral:rRNA from 1 species
CAGUAGCCGCGGUAAUACGUAGGGUGCAAGCGUUAAUCGGAAUUACUGGGCGUAAAGCGUGCGCAGGCGGUUAUGUAAGACAGUUGUGAAAUCCCCGGGCUCAACCUGGGAACUGCAUCUGUGACUGCAUAGCUAGAGUACGGUAGAGGGGGAUGGAAUUCCGCGUGUAGCAGUGAAAUGCGUAGAUAUGCGGAGGAACACCGAUGGCGAAGGCAAUCCCCUGGACCUGUACUGACGCUCAUGCACGAAAGCGUGGGGAGCAAACAGGAUUAGAGACCCCUGUAGUCCCUGUCUCUUAUAC